UCGUCCCUGUAUGGGGUGGGUGAAGCACAACAUAGGUUUUUUUCUUUCUCUUCUCUUUCCUUGUCAGUUUUCUUCUACUAUAUUCUCGCACAAUAGAUCUUGUGUAGUCAAAUACCAUUUGUAUGGCCAAAUUAUCUUUUCGUGGCUCUAUUUCUGAAAGGGCGUCAGAAUUGGGUAACUUGUCCCGGUUUUUUUGGGGCUGAUGAAAAAUAUAUCAUGAUAUUCACUCUGGUCAUNNNNNNNNNNNNNNNNNNNNNNNNNNNNNNNNNNNNNNNNNNNNNNNNNNNNNNNNNNNNNNNNNNNNNNNNNNNNNNNNNNNNNNNNNNNNNNNNNNNNNNNNNNNNNNNNNNNNNNNNNNNNNNNNNAUAUUCACUCUGGUCAUCACAAUUGGCUUUCAUUCGGCCCGCUUCAUGCCAAGCCGGUCCAACGACAAUUGAGUUUUUCCACAACUAAAAGACAUGUGGUUCUACGCUCCAUACACGUGUGUAUGAAAAAUGGCACUAUUUUUUAAAAGGAUAGCUCACUGUGUCCCAUAGAUAUAGAAACUCGGCGUGUUAGGAGGUCUGGCCUUGCAAACGAUUAAAUAUAUGGUGACACAUCUAUAGCCACGGACAUCACGCAACAUACAACCGAGGACGUGCUAUUUUUUGUUGCUAGGACAAUGCGUGCUAGAUUAGGUGUUAAAAGCUUCAUCUUACUUCCACUUUAGAUUGUUUAGUUUGUGUUACAAAAACAUUCAUCUAUUCCACAGCCUCGUCUAUCAAUUCUAAUAAUUACACUUGCAUAUUACCGCCAAACUUAUCAUAGGAUUCACUCCGGUCGUCAUAGUUGCUUCCAUUCAAUCCGCUUCAUACCAGGUUGGUACAACGACAUUUGAGUUUUUCCACAACCGGAAGACAUGUGAUUCUACGCUUCAUACAUGUGUGUAUGAAACAUGGCACUCUUUACAAAAGGAUAGCUCACUAUGUCUAGUAGAUAUAGAAACUUGGCGUGUUAGGAGAUCUGAACUUGCAAACGAAAACAUAUAGGGUGACUCAGCUAUAGCCAUGGACAUCACGCAACAUACAAUGGAGGACGUGCUAUUUUUUGUUGCUAGGACAAUGCGUGCUAGAUUUGGUGUUAAAAAGUUCAUCUUACUUUCAUUUCAGAUACUUCAGUUUGUGUUUAAAAAGCAUCCAUCUAUUUUAGAGCCUCAUCUAUUAAUUCUCAUCAAUACACUUCAUAUUACCGCCACACUUAACAUAAAAUUCACUCCAAUUGUCAUAGUUGGCUUCCACUCAGUCCGCUUCAUGCCAAGUCAGUUAAAGGACUAUUGAGUUUUUGAAAACUGCAAGACAUGUGGUUCUACGCUCCAUACAUGUGUGUAUGAAUAAUGGCAUUAUUUUCCAAAAGGUUAGCUCAAUAUGUCCAGUAGAUAUAGAAACUUAGCGUGUUAGGAGAUCUGACCUUGCAAACAACAAAAUAUAUGGCAACACAUCUAUAGCCGUGGACAUCACGCAACAUACAAUGUAGGACGUGCUUUUUUUGUCGCCGGGACAAUGCGUGCUAGAUAAGGUGUUAUAAGCUUCAUCUUACUUUCACUUCAUAUUCUUCAGUUUAUGUUAAAAGGCAUCCAUCUAUUCUAGAGCCCCAUCUAUCAAUUCUAAUCAAUAUACUUUCAUUUACCGCCACAUUUUAACAUAAAAUUUAGUCUGAUCGUCAUACUUGGCUUCCAUUCGGUCGCUUCAUGCCAAGUUGGUUCAAAUACAAUUGAGUUUUUCAACAACUGGAAUACAUGUGGUUCUACGCUCCAUACACGUCUGUAUGAACCAUGGCACUAUUUCCCAAAAGGAUACCUCACUAUGUCUAGUAGAUAUAGAAACUAGGCACGUUAGGGGAUCUGACCUUGCAAACAACAAAAUAUAUGGCCACAAAGCUAUAUCCAUGGACAUCACGCAACUUUCAAUCGAGGACGUGCUAUUUUUUGUUGCUGGGACAAUGCGUUCUAGAUUAGGUGUUAUAAACUUCAUCUUACUUUCACUUCACAUACUUCAAUUUGUGUUAAAAAAAUCCAUCUAUUCAUGAGACCCAUCUAUUAAUUCUCCUCAAUACACUUUCAUAUUACCGCCACACUUAACAUAAAAUUUACUCUGGUCGUCAUAGUUGGCUUCCAUUUGGUCCACUUUGCCAAGUCGGUUCAAGGACAAUUUAGUUUUCUAACAACUGGAAGACAUGUGGUUCUAUGCUCCAUACACGUGUGUAUGAACCAUGGCACUAUUUUCCAAAAUAAUAGCUCACUAUGUCCAGUAGAUAUAGAAAGUUGGUGUGUUAGGAGAUCUCACCUUGCAAACAACAAAAAAUAUGGAGACACGGUUAUAGCCAUGCACAUCACGCAACAUAGAAUCAAGAACGUGAUGUUUUUUGUCGCCAUGACAAUGCGUGCUAGAUUAGGUGUUAAAAGCUUCAUCUUACUUCCACUUCAGAUUCUUUAGUUUGUGUUGAAAAACAUCCAUCUAUUCUAGAGCCCCAUCUAUCAAUUCUAAUCAAUAUACUUUCAUAUUACUGCCACACUUAUAAUAAGAUUCACUCUUAUCGACAUAGUUGGCUUCCAUUCAAUCCACUUCAUAACAAGUUGGUACAACGAAACUUGAGUCUUUCCAGAACUGGAAUACAUGUGAUUCUACGCUCCGUACAUGUGUGUAUGAAACAUGCACUAAUUCCAAAAUGAUAGCUCACUAUGUCCACUAGAUAUAGAAACUUGGCGUGUUAGGAGAUCUGACCUUGGAAACGAAAACAUAUAUUGUGACACAACUAUAGCCAUGAACUUCACGCAACAUACAAUGGAUGACGUGCUAUUUUUUUGCUAGAACAAUGCGUCCUAGAUUUGGUGUUAGAAAGUUCAUCUUACUUUCACUUCAGAUACUUGAGUUUGUGUUAAAAAGCAUCCAUCUAUUCUAGAUCCCCAUCUAUUAAUUCUCAUCAAUACACUUUCAUAUUACCGCCACACUUAACACAAAAUUUAUUCUGAUCCCCAUAGCUGGCUUCCAUUCAGUCUGCUUCAUGCCAAGUCGAUUCAAGGACACUUGAGUUUUUCAACAAGUGGAAUACAUGUGGUUCUACGCUCGAUACACGUGUGUAUGAAUCAUGGUACUAUUUUCCAAAGGAUAGCUCACCAUAUCCAGUAGAUAUAGAAACUUGGCUUGUUAGGAGAUCUGACCUUGCAAACAACAAGAUAUAUGGCGACACAACUAUAGCCAUGGACAUCAUGCAACAUACAAUUGAGGACGUGCUAUUUUUUGUCGCUAGGACAAUGCGUGCUAGAUUAGGUGUUAAUGUUGGAAUUAUGCCCUAGAGGCAAUGAUAAAUAUAGUUAUUAUUAUAAUUCCUGUAUCAAUAUAAUCGUUUAUUAUCCN
rnacentral:lncRNA from 1 species